rnacentral:rRNA from 1 species
GGCUUGGGGGCGAGCUAUACAUGCAAGUCGAGCGAAUGGAUUAAGAGCUUGCUCUUAUAGAAGUUAGCGGCGGACGGGUGAGUAACACGUGGGUAACCUGCCCAUAAGACUGGGAUAACUCCGGGAAACCGGGGCUAAUACCGGAUAACAUUUUGAACCGCAUGGUUCGAAAUUGAAAGGCGGCUUCGGCUGUCACUUAUGGAUGGACCCGCGUCGCAUUAGCUAGUUGGUGAGGUAACGGCUCACCAAGGCAACGAUGCGUAGCCGACCUGAGAGGGUGAUCGGCCACACUGGGACUGAGACACGGCCCAGACUCCUACGGGAGGCAGCAGUAGGGAAUCUUCCGCAAUGGACGAAAGUCUGACGGAGCAACGCCGCGUGAGUGAUGAAGGCUUUCGGGUCGUAAAACUCUGUUGUUAGGGAAGAACAAGUGCUAGUUGAAUAAGCUGGCCCCUUGACGGUACCUAACCAGAAAGCCACGGCUAACUACGUGCCAGCAGCCGCGGUAAUACGUAUGUGGCAAGCGUUAUCCGGAAUUAUUGGGCGUAAAGCGCGCGCAGGUGGUUUCUUAUGACUGAUGCGAAAGCCCACGGCUCACCCG